rnacentral:rRNA from 1 species
UACAGAGGGGGCGAGCGUUGUUCGGAAUUACUGGGCGUAAAGGGCGCGUAGGCGGCCUGCUAAGUCGGACGGGAAAUCCCCGGGCUCAACCCGGGAACUGCGUCCGAUACUGGUGGGCUUGAAUCCGGGAGAGGGAUGUGGAAUUCCAGGUGUAGCGGUGAAAUGCGUAGAUAUCUGGAGGAACACCGGUGGCGAAGGCGGCAUCCUGGACCGGUAUUGACGCUGAGGCGCGAAAGCUAGGGGAGCAAACGGG